CAAAACCUUUUGUUAAGAUGGCAUCGUCUAAUCUCUUCAUUACAAUAUGAAAUACAACUUUCAACAAUGGAUCUCUUGGCUCCGGCAUCGAUGAAGAACGCAGCGAAAUGCGAUAACUAGUGUGAAUUGCAGAUUUCAGUGAAUCAUCGAGUCUUU
rnacentral:rRNA from 1 species